UGACAUGCUGAGUGUACGUCUCCCAUCACCCAAAUGCAAGCUCCUUGAGAGCAGCGACGUGGUAUUUCCAAUGCCUGGAACAGUACGUGGCACCUGAUGAGUACAGUCAAAGGUAUUUCGGAAUGUUUGCUGAGUGGUGACUGAUAGCACAGCAAAGAAGCUCCAUGCAGACUGGAUUGCUGGCAUGGGGUAAGGAGGAGAAGCCAGCCAGAGUGACCUGGCCCAGCGAUUGGGAACCAGGGACCUUGACUAACUUUGUCCAGAUGUAAAGGGCUGGAAUGUUGGCGUGAUGGUUGAAGCUGUAACAGCCAUCUUCGACUACAAAAUGGAAGCUGCAUGCUACAAAUGACAGAAGACAAGAUCAAAAGAACCUGUGUUCCCAGCACCACAGAACUGUCCCUAUGGAAAUAGACAUGACUGUUACAUAAGAAAGAAAUAUACCCUACUAUGUUUAAGCCUCUGUUAUUUUAGCAUGUGUUGUAGCAGUUGUAUACUAAGUAACUAAUGAGAAAGAAUAUUUUGUGCCCUGGUAAAGAUGGAUACUUCUAUAUGUUAUGAGAACAAUUUGAUGAGGUAAUUGUAAUUUAGUAGAAUAAUAUCAAAUAUUAAUGUCAAAUGACUAGUUUGGCAUUGCCACAUAGUAAUUGUUGGGCAAGUUAUUAACCUGUGUCUCAGUUUCCUCACUGGUAGAAUAACAAUAACAGACAAUCGUACUAGUGUCUAACGUUUUACUGAACAUGUAGCUUGGUUCAGCGCCACACAUUAUUUGAAUUAAGUAGAAUAAGAGAGUCCUGAGUAAAUAUAACCCAAAUGUAAAUUAUUUUUAAACUUUAUUACAUAUGUGAAUAUUAUUAUUUGAGCUUCUCAUACUGACUUCUUAUUUACUUAACUGAUUCUAGGCAUUGACCACUCCUGAGAUUUUGCAUCCAUACUCCCUAAAAGUUCUGGUCCAAAAUUUAGCACACAAUAAAUAUUUAAUGAGGGCAUAGCUUA
ensembl:lncRNA novel transcript